UACGUAGGGUGCAAGCGUUGUCCGGAAUUAUUGGGCGUAAAGAGCUCGUAGGCGGUUUGUUGCGUCGGCUGUGAAAUCCCGAGGCUCAACCUCGGGUCUGCAGUCGAUACGAGCAAACUAGAGUGUUGCAGGGGAGACUGGAAUUCCUGGUGUAGCGGUGAAAUGCGCAGAUAUCAGGAGGAACACCGGUGGCGAAGGCGGGUCUCUGGGCAACAACUGACGCUGAGGCGCGAAAGCGUGGGGAGCGAACAGG
rnacentral:rRNA from 1 species